GCAGGUCUUCCUGGAGGAUCGGUGGAGAGGAGGAGGGAGAGGAUCUCUUUCAAAGACCAAGAGCUCUGGGAUGCGAGGGCAAUCUGGCUGCGACACCCGUCACCCCAUGGAUCUCCAAGGCUGACUCAGCUGACCUGGCUGGUGAGGCGGGUGUCCCCAUCCUCCCUCACCAGUCAAUGUGCAUCCCCCCCCGGAAGCUGCAGGGUCUCGGGUGAAGAGGACAACCUUCCCUGAUCGAGGAGAGGGCCACUCUUUGGUCCUGGACAUACGAGUAGCUGCGCCCCCCUUCUGGAACCUCCAAACCAGGUCUCAAAGCCAGGAGCUCUGGUGCCGCAUCUCAGCUCCCUACUGUGCUGUCCGAGACCCAGAAACAGGCCACGGCUGCCCUCCCCGCCUGAGACCGGACUCGCGUGUGAAGCAGGCAGAGUCCCAUAGAAAAAAGCUGCCCUGUGCCAACUCGGGCAGAGUUCUGAUGACCGUCCGUGAAACACGAUGGCAGGAAGAAACAGUUGUUCCUGAGACCAGGAUUUUGGUUGGGCAAACAGCCACGGAGUUAAAGGAUUACAUUUCCCAGCCUCCCUGGUCGCUAGGCAUGGCCAUGUGGUCAAGCCCGGACUAUGCGGUGGUAAGGGACUUGAGAACUCUCCUUAGAGGUAAGGGAGUGUGCCGUUCUCUUCCGCUAUCCCGCUGUCUAGAACUCGGAUGUGAUGCCAGCACGCCAGCAGCCACGCUGCCCCACGGGGGACGGUGUGGGCUGGAUGGAGACUAGAACUCCCCUGUACUCCGUGGCCGGGAGCCGCCACACCACCCUGCUCUGCCUGCCACUGAAUUAUUUUGCUUAUUUAAUGUUGUGUAAGCUGUCAAUAAGCUUCUGUUUUGUUUGACACUCUUAUUUUAUAUACAGCAAAACACUGCCUAAGUGUACAGAGAGGUAUACCCAAGGUUGUAUAUUGACCAAUUACAGUAACCAAAAUUUAA